rnacentral:tRNA from 1 species
GUCGCUAUCGUCUAGUGGUUAGGACGUUACGUUGUGGCCGUGACACCCCGGUUCAAAUUCGGGUAGUGACU